UACGAAGGGUGCAAACGUUAUUCGGAAUCACUGGGCGUAAAGGGUGCGUAGAUGGUAUGUUAAGUUUGUUGUUAAAGCCUUCGGCCUAACCGAAGUAUUGCAAUGAAAACUGGCACGCUAGAGGGUGAGAGAGAAGUGGAAUUCCCGGAGUAGCGGUAAAAUGCGUGGAUCUCGGGAGGAACACCAAUGGCGAAGGCAGCUUCUUGGCUCAUUCCUGACAUUGAGGCACGAAAGCGUGGGGAGCAAACAGG
rnacentral:rRNA from 1 species